GGGCGGUUAGCUCAGCUGGGAGAGCGCCGGGAUCACAACCCGGAGGUCGGCGGUUCAAUCCCGUCACCGCCCACCA
rnacentral:tRNA from 1 species